rnacentral:lncRNA from 1 species
ACCUACAUCUCCAUAGACUUGUGAAGACUGAUACUGUGGCAUAUACUGUGUUGUCAUGUCUCCAGCUCCAGUCAGAACAAGAAAAUCCAACAAGGAAACGGCGUAGUACACGUUAACAGCUUUAAUUGGAGAAGUAAGAGGAAAAGAUCCUUUGACCGAGUCACGUGAUAGUCAUCACGUGACCUGCAGUGACCCAGGAAA